UUGGAAGGAAAACAAGUUGUCUCCACAAUGGACAGAAAUUAAGGAGCUCUGCCAGGUUCUUACAGUAAAGACUGGAGACAUCCCAUUUUAAACCAUUUUGAAGCACAUUGCGUUCUUCUUUGCAAGGCCUGCCCUGUGACUUCAGUUUUCUGAUGGAUCUAAGAAGAGUUGUUGAUUUUCAG